GCCUGGCUAGCUCAGUCGGUAGAGCAUGAGACUCUUAAUCUCAGGGUCGUGGGUUAGAGCCCCACAUUGGGCG
rfam:Danio rerio chromosome 4, GRCz11 reference primary assembly.